AUACCAGCACCCCGAGUGGUCGGGACGAUUAUUGGGCCUAAAGCAUCCGUAGCCGGCCUUACAAGUCCUCCGUUAAAUCCAGCUGCUUAACAGAUGGGCUGCGGAGGAUACUAUAAGACUAGGAGGCAGGAGAGGCAAGCGGUACUCAGUGGGUAGGGGUAAAAUCCGUUGAUCCAUUGAAGACCACCAGUGGCGAAGGCGGCUUGCCAGAAUGCGCUCGACGGUGAGGGAUGAAAGCUGGGGGAGCAAACCGGAUUAGAUACCCGGGUAGUCCCAGCUGUAAACGAUGCAGACUCGGUGAUGGACUAGCUUUAUGCUGGUCCAGUGCCGCAGGGAAGCCGUUAAGUCUGCCGCCUGGGUAGUACGGUCGCAAGACUGAAACUUAAAUGAAUUGGCGGGG
rnacentral:rRNA from 1 species